UACGUAGGGGCUAGCGUUAUCCGGAAUUACUGGGCGUAAAGGGUGCGUAGGUGGUUUCUUAAGUCAGAGGUGAAAGGCUACGGCUCAACCGUAGUAAGCCUUUGAAACUGGGGAACUUGAGUGCAGGAGAGGAGAGUGGAAUUCCUAGUGUAGCGGUGAAAUGCGUAGAUAUUAGGAGGAACACCAGUUGCGAAGGCGGCUCUCUGGACUGUAACUGACACUGAGGCACGAAAGCGUGGGGAGCAAAACAGGAUUAGAUACCCCGGUAGUCCCUGAGCGGG
rnacentral:rRNA from 1 species